rnacentral:rRNA from 1 species
UAGGGANUCUUCGGCAAUGGACGGAAGUCUGACCGAGCAACGCCGCGUGAGUGAAGAAGGUUUUCGGAUCGUAAAGCUCUGUUGUAAGAGAAGAACGAGUGUGAGAGUGGAAAGUUCACACUGUGACGGUAUCUUACCAGAAAGGGGCGGCUAACUACGUGCCAGCAGCCGCGGUAAUACGUAGGUCCCGAGCGUUGUCCGGAUUUAUUGGGCGUAAAGCGAGCGCAGGCGGUUAGAUAAGUCUGAAGUUAAAGGCUGUGGCUUAACCAUAGUACGCUUUGGAAACUGUUUAACUUGAGUGCAAGAGGGGAGAGUGGAAUUCCAUGUGUAGCGGUGAAAUGCGUAGAUAUAUGGAGGAACACCGGUGGCGAAAGCGGCUCUCUGGCUUGUAACUGACGCUGAGGCUCGAAAGCGUGGGGAGCAAACAGGAUUAGAUACCCUGGUAGUCCACGCCGUAAACGAUGAGUGCUAGGUGUUAGACCCUUUCCGGGGUUUAAUGCCGCAGCUAACGCAUUAANCACUCCGCCUGGGGAGUACGACCGCAAGGUUG